AUCGACCACAGUGGGCCUGAAUAAAGCCCAUGACGAUUGUCACAGCAGUGAGGAAUAUUGGUCAAUAGCCUAACGGCUGAACCAGCAACUUGGAGGAAUGUAUAGCAAUAGCUACUUGCAUCUUCGUAUACAUGAUGCAAGAUCGACUCUGUCGAAUAAAAUUCUAGGUAGAAUUAUGAUAAUGACAUUGUCUGCCUAUGUGUCUUGACCAAAUUACGUGCCAGCAGUCGCGGUAAUACGUAGAAGACUAGUGUUAUUCAUGUUUAAUCGGUUUAAAGGGUACCUAGACGGUAAAUCAAGCCUACAAAUAAAAGAAAUGAAGGGACUAAUUUGCUAGAGUUACUUAUGAGGGGGUAUUAAAGUACUGCUGGUGUAGAGAUGAAAUUCUGUCAUACCUCUUUUCAAUAGAAAAAUAAUGGCACAGGUAUAGGCGAAAGCAUCCCCUUAUGUGAUAACUGACGUUGAGGGACGAAGGCUUUGUGUAGCGAACAGGAUUAGAUACCCCAGUAGUCAAAGCAGAAAAUGAUGAAUGUCAUAGAUUAGAUAUAUAAGUUUAUUCUAUAAAUGAAAGUGUAAGCAUUCCACCUCAAGAGUAAUUUGGCAACAUUGGAACUGAAAUCAUUAGACCGUUUCUGAAACCAGUAGUGAAGUAUGUUGUUUAAUUUGAUGAUCCGCAAAAAACCUUACCACAAUUUGAANAUUUAUAUCUUUUAUUGUUUUUUUUUAUUUUUCUUCUUAUGACUUUUAUCCAUGAUUUUCUACUCAGUGAAGAAAAGGGAAGAAUACAAGAAAUAAGAAAAGAAGAAAAAUAAAAAAAAAAAAUAAUAAGAUAUAUUUACAAGCG
rnacentral:rRNA from 1 species